rnacentral:misc_RNA from 1 species
GAUGAAGAACGCAGCGAAAUGCGAUAAGUAAUGUGAAUUGCAGAAUUCAGUGAAUCAUCGAAUCUUUGAACGCACCUUGCACCCUUUGGCAUUCCGAAGGGUAUGCUCGUUUGAGUGUCAUUGUACUCUCACACUCCCAAUUGCUUUGGAUUGGGAGCGGUGGACUUGGGUGUUGCUGCUUGACUGAGGCCCACCUGAAAUAUGUUAGUGCACCUCUUGAUUGGACAUAGUACGGCGUGAUAAGUGUCUUCGCCGGCUCCUCGCAAAGAGGGUGGCCGAUCGGGAGCUCUGUUGCUUCAAACUGUCUUCGGACAAUCUUCUGGCGACUUGACCUCAAAUCGAGUAGGACUACCCGCUGAACUUAAGCAUAUCAAUAAGCGGAGGA